UGGGCCGGUGAGGCGGUCGCGUCGCGGCACGCAAGUGCACGCGCCGAGGAACGUCCGGGCUCCGCAGGGGAGAACGGUGGGUAACGCCCACCCGGGGUAACCCGCGAGAAAGUGCAACAGAGAGUAGACCGCCAGGGGUGGCUUGCCGCCUCCGGUAAGGCUGAAAGGGUGGUGUAAGAGACCACCGGCGUUCGUGGUAACACGGGCGGCCAGGUAAACCUCGUUCGGAGCAAGGCCAGACAGAGGAUGAUGACGCGCCCCGCCGAGUCCUCGGGUAGGCCGCUAGAGGGUACUGGCAACAGUGCCCCGAGAGAGAUGACCGUCAGAGUCGGCUUUGGCCGUCGAGACAGAACCCGGCGUAUGAUCCGGCCCAUUCC
rfam:Leucobacter sp. 7(1) genome assembly, contig: Scaffold5